rnacentral:rRNA from 1 species
UAGUUGGUAAGGUAAUGGCUUACCAAGGCGAAGACGGGUAGCUGGUCUGAGAGGAUGAUCAGCCACACUGGUACUGGAACACGGACCAGACUCUACGGGAGGCAGCAGUGGGGAAUAUUGGGCAAUGGGCGGAAGCCUGACCCAGCCACGCCGCGUGAGUGAUGAAGGCCUUCGGGGUUGUAAAAGCUCUGUGGGAAGGGGCGAAAAACUCAGACCUAAUACGUCUGAGGUUGACGGUACCUUCUUAGCAAGCACCGGCUAACUCUGUGCCAGCAGCCGCGGUAAGACAGAGGGUGCAAACGUUGCUCGGAUUUACUGGGCGUAAAAGCGCGUGUAGGCGGGCGAAUAAGUCGGGUGUGAAAUCCCCUGGGGCUCAACCUAGGAACUGCAUCCGAAACUGUUCACCUGGAGUGAUGGAGAGGAAGGCGGAAUUCCCGGUGUAGAGGUGAAAUUCGUAGAUAUCGGGGAGGAACACCAGUGGCGAAGGCGGCCUUCUGGACAUUUACUGACGCUGAGACGCGAAAGCGUGAG